UACACGAGGAUGGCGUUAAUGUCUCCUACAAACCGGCGUCACUUUCAAUCCCCCUCGGUGAGACCAAGUUCAGCUAAACAUCUUGGAAACAAUAUUUGCAUCGGGCGCCCUCGUUUGCCUGAUCCAGAAUCUGAACCUUAUAACCAGUGGCAGAAUGAUGUCGAUAUGUGGACACGGUUACAUCCCAAAAAAAAAGGGAACAUGGUAUGGCCUUGGCAUUGUCACUUCCUAA